CUAAAUGCAACGUCGAAGUUCCCUUUGAAAGGGAACUACAUUUCAUAUAAUCCUUUGUUUUAGGGUGAGUUGUAAUUUGUUUUCAGUGGAGUAGUCUAAGCAAAUACAUUUCCUGUUUAAUUACCAAUCAGAGAUCACCUUUGUUUGGGGAGUGGAGAAAAGAGAGGGAGGAGUUGGAGGACAGGUGAAGCACACUUGGAGGGAAUGACACGCGGGAGCAGAGCGGGAAAAGAAAAUUGAGUUUUAACGCCGAGGUGACGAUAUUUGUAGACAAAAAGUACUGUUACAGUAGUGGCACAAAUAUCAUUUUGUUCAAGUAAGAGUCAUGUGCAACUAGAAGUUUGAUAACUUUGUGAACUGUAGGUUUAAGGGAAGUGCAGCUAGGUUAUCUGCGUUUGUUGUUCUGCACUAGCUUGUAAAGGGCUAAGUAUAAACUGUAACCUGUGGACGUUUAAGAUAAUGUCGUCGUGAGAGACGGACAGCUAUAACCGCCAGCCGCAGUUUUCACAGUGGAACUGAAGGGACAAGGACUGUGGAGAACUGUGCUAAGUAGCACGGUAACUACGCCUGUGUAAGAAGGGAUUCUACCGCCAAACAUGCAUCGCUGAAUUGACUAUUGCCUGCUGGAACCACGCUUGCAGCGGAUUCAUUCACUCAGCUCGUUGUUUCCAAUUCAGCUAAUUCUUCUCGUCGAGAGGCGUGAGUAAUGGAGAGUUUUGAGUAGCAGUUCAUUAAAGGAGCCAAGGAGAUUUUUUUGUAUGUGCACCAACUCAUGGUCCCCAACGGAAAAAAAACAGAAACCCAAGCACUUGGUAAAGGUUUGAACAUUUACAACAAGAUAGAACUAAUCCAAACUAUAUUGUUAGUGGUGUUUAAUGUAUGUUAAGCUAAAACCGUCUGAGGCAGUGGUUAACUCCAGUAUGUUCUUUUGUGAGGAAGAAAUGAGUAUUUGACUUUACUUGUCUAAAUUUGUCUACUAUACAUUCAUACAGUUUGAGGUUUUUUUUUAAGUUAAAGCAUAAGGGGAUAUUUUACGAAAACAUAAAAAAGGAGAGAUUUGAAUACAGCACAGAAAAAACAGAAUAUAGGAAAAUAAAUUAUUUUUUUUGUCAUACAUAUUACUUGGCUGCUUUGAACUUUUUCAUUUUAAUAAGGUUUGUAUAUAUUUGACAUACUUGAUAUUUGUUUCUGGGGAAUACCCAUAUAGCUCAUAGUGUGUGAGUGAGGUGGUUCUUCAGUGGAGGCACCGCACUGUUAUCGCGAGAUUAAAUCUGUUCUAUACAUUUAUGCCUGUGUGUCACGUAUCAAGAAACUCUGGACUCCACUUCCCAUCAGCCACUGCACUGCACUAGCUGUCACAUGACCACCUGCACCUGACUCACGUUUUGGUUAAUGAGCACUCGUGUGUAUAUAUAGUCCUUGUCUGCACUGUUUGGUUGUCUUUCGUUGUCCUAGACGCUGGUUGUUUAUGUCUCGGUGUUUUGUUUCAUGCCACAGUGUUAUUCCACGUUGUCUUAGUGUCUUUGUUUCUUAGUAUGUUUGUUUCAAUCAAUAUCAUUAUCUGCACUUGCUUCUGGCUCAACCUCGAUUCGUGACACUGUGUUAACAUCGUCUACAGAAAAAUGGAAGAAGAAUAUAAAUUAUGGAGGAGAGAAUGGCUUGAGAAGUGUGGACAGCAAGCAUGGUCUGUUCUGCAGAUCGUGAACAGAAUGUGGAGAAGCUUUGAUCACAACAUGAUUGUGUACUCAGUCCUGCAUCAUUCACUGGUUUCCUCUUUCAUGCCUAUUGGAUAUUGUUCAUUUCACUGCUUGUCAUACUUUGCCAACCAGAGGCAGGACAAACAUUUUAAAAGUAGUUGAGGGACAGAGUUGUUAUUUACAUAGACAUUUAUAUUGUCAAGGACUAUAAGCCACAGUCUGAAAGUUAACAAAACUACGAUAACACAUAACACUUUCCAUCACGGCUACAGACAAAACCCUCACAUUGCAUAAAUCACUGUUUUUCCCCUCUUGCUUUCUCUAUACACAUAAAUAUGGUGUGCAUAAAGAAGCACUGAUGUUCUAGUUAAAUACAGUCAGGUCCACAAUAAAGUCAGGUCCAUAUAUUUGGACAGUGACACAAUUUUUGUAAUUUUGCCUUUGUACACCACCACAAUGGAUUUGAAAUAAAGCAAUGAAGUUCAA